GAAUGUGAGGGUGAUCUGGCUGUGCCAUCUGUCACCCCAUUGACCACCAGGGUUGAUUCGGCUGAUCUGACUGGCUAGGUGGAUGUCCCCUUUGUCCCACAUGAAGCUGUGCUCUUGGUUGAAGAGGAAAGCCUUCCCCGAACAGAGAGGGACCAGUGCUCAGUCCAAGCUAUACGCGUAGCUGUGUUCCCUUGCUACAGUAUCCAAACAAGCUGUCAGUUCCAGUCUACUGACCAGUGUUUCUAUUCAUGUUCCUGUACCAAGUAGUUUUAUUAUUAUUGUUCUUAUUAUUAUUAUGUCU
rnacentral:snRNA from 1 species